rnacentral:rRNA from 1 species
CCGGCGACCGGCGCACGGGUGAGUAACACGUAUGUAACCUGCCCUAUGCAGGGGGAUAGCCCGGAGAAAUCCGGCCUAAUACCGCGUAACACCUUUUGGGAGCAUUCCCGGGAGGUUAAAGGAGAGAUCCGGCAUAGGAUGGACAUGCGUCGCAUUAGGUAGACGGCGGGGUAACGGCCCACCGUGCCGACGAUGCGUAGGGGUUCUGAGAGGAAGGCCCCCCACACUGGUACUGAGACACGGACCAGACUCCUACGGAAGGCAGCAG